UGUCCGGAAUCACUGGGCGUAAAGGGCGCGUAGGCGGCUUGAUAAGCGUGCGGUGAAAGCCCGGGGCUCAACCCCGGGUCGGCCGUGCGAACUGUCGAGCUGGAGCACUGUAGAGGCAGGUGGAAUUCCGGGUGUAGCGGUGGAAUGCGUAGAGAUCCGGAAGGACACCGGUGGCGAAGGCGGCCUGCUGGGCAGUGGCUGACGCUGAGGCGCGAAAGCGUGGGGAGCAAACAGG
rnacentral:rRNA from 1 species